rnacentral:lncRNA from 1 species
AUGGGAACGCAAGCAUGCCUCCAUCACCACCACCAUCAUCAAUCAAGAAACACUUGCCUCACACCUCCUCUGGAGCACACUGGUUUUUAUUCGCAACUCCAAGUUUUGGGAAAACCAUCUCAAGGUAAAGGCUGGUUUUUAAAAUCAUUCUGCUCCUACUACCCAUUCCCCCACCCACAACAAUGGAAUGACUUAUUAGUAAUAUGCUGAGGGCGUACAGCUCCACCAGGAUUUACUUCCUGUUUCUACUUGGACUGGUUUAGUAUUAGUUUCCAAUGUUCUGAAAUUGCACGUCAGAAUUUAUUUGAAAACAUAAUAAUUUGGAAAUGGAUAUCUUGCUAAUUGGAGCAUCUGUCUCUAGCUACAGCUCUUUUCUUCUUUUUUGUAACAUCUUGAUUUAUAACGAUCAUCUCACCUUUGCAGAUAUCGUAGUAUUUAGGAAUAAUGCUCAACCCUGUUCUGUCUCUGGAAUAACAUAAAGUCAUCCUGGGUUAUGCUAUUAUUCUACUACCUACGAAUUAUCUCUGUGCUUCGUUCCCUAUCGGUUUGGUUUUUUGCCAAAGUGGUGAUUUAUGUUUGCUUGCUUCUAGACUAUAUAAUUGCAAUGCUUUCAUAUACAGACUAACUGAUUAGACUCUGCACAGAAAGAAGGGAAUACAGUUCACUUAAUCAAGUGUGUUACACACAAUUCCCCAUUUCCUUAGGCUUUCUCACGUUUCCCUUUGCUGAGGUGGGAUACAGAAGCCAUACCACUAAAGUCAAGACCCUGACAAUUUCCAAAAGUGUCUGUGAAACUUAUAGAACUUAGGCUUCUAGAAUUAAAAGUACCAUUUACAUCAGCAAAAGAGCUGCUAUUUUGAUCAUGGGAAGUUUCCUCCAAAUAGGUGUAUAAACCAGAGCUGAUUUUGCUUUUGCUCUUAGUUUUCUUUCAGACCUCAUUGAGUUUCAACAUGAUGUAUACAAACAACCUUAUCCUUCUGGAGUCAGGCCCUUUGGAUUGCCCUGCUUAAAGGAAUGAUGGUCCUGGAGAAGAGUUUCUCACACGGUUUAACAUUUCUCCCCAUGCAGCUGACCUUAAUCCCUGGCCAAUAACCAGCAUCCCUUUGGGCACCUUUUAUUUUUAAUUUUUAUUUAAAGAUUUUAUUUAUUUAUUCAUGAGAGAGAAUGAGACAGAGAAGCACAGACACAGGCAGAGGGAGAAGCAGGCUCCAUGCAGGGAGCCUGACAUGGGACUCGAUCCUGGGUCUCCAGGAUCACGCCCUGGGCCGAAGGCGGCAAACCGCUGAGCCACCCAGACGUCCCUUUGGGCACCUUUAAUAAUUGGGGGGCUUCAGUAUUUUAUUUUAUUUUUAAAAUUAUUUUUAAAAGAUUAUUUAUUUACCUUUUUUUUUUUUUUUAUUUCACAGAGAAUGAAUGAGAGAGAGCGCACAAGCAAGCUCCCUGCUGAGCAGAGAGCCUGACAUGGACUGGGAUCCCAGGACCUGAGCCAAAGGCAGCCUCUUAACUAACGGGGCCACCCAGGCACCCCAGGGGUUCACUAUUUUAAACAGCUGGUAACACUGCUGUAUAUUUCUACUUGCUGGUUCCUUCUUCCUUUUCAAUAGGAUCCCAAGCCUCCUCUGGGGUAAUCACUUUGUAGCCUUGUUUUGUUUUUUUCUCUUGUCUGUAGCACUUGCCAUGGACUGGCUGUUUGUGUUCCCCAGAUUCAUAUGUUGAAACUCUUAUCCCCCAUGUGAUGGUGUUUGGAGAUGGGGCCUUUGUGAGGUAACUAGGUCAUGAAGAGGCAACCCUUUAGAUAGCAUUAGUGCCUUUAUGAGAAGACACAGGAGAGAGCUUGCUUCCUUUCUCUCUACCAAAUGAGGGUACAGGAUGGACUUUUAUAAACCAGAAAGAGGGGCUUCACCAAGAACCUACCAUGCUGGCACUGUGGUCUCUAAAUUCCAGCCCCCAGAGCUGUGAGAAAGAACUUCUUGUUUAAACAACCCAGUUGUUCCUAUUUUUAGGAUAGCACCCUCAAACGGACAAACCAGCACUCAUGAAGUGUAUUCCACAUGGAGACCAUUCAGAUAAAAAGAGAGUUAUCAAAUUUGUCUUAAGCCCUUUCACGAACUAAACAUAUCCAAUUUCUUUUAGCUAUCCCUCACCUCCCUGUUUUUUUAAAUAUUUCACCUUUCUGUUCAGGUUUGUAGCAAGUAUUUCUCUUUGCCAGUUUCUCUCCUUGACCAGCCAAGGUGAUCCUGCUAAUAUUACUUAACCACUUCCUAACUUGUGCUACAAUAGACGUGUAUAGGCUAUGCCUUCCUACCCAAAAACUCUAAAUUCUAAGACAUUCACAGAAGAAACCCAAUGCAGAAAAAAAGACUCCUCAAAAACAAAGCACUCUGCACAACUCUAUGGGAGAUAAUAAAUUAAAUUAAAUAUUACAUAUAUAUCUCCGCAAUGACUAAUGGAUCAAGUUUCCUAUUUACUUCCUGAAAGAAUGGGCAUGGUUAUUAUUUUUUAAAGUUUGAAAGGACAGAAUCCAAAUGAUAAUAAUAAUAAUAAUUCUGGAGUGAAAGUAUUACAGAUACCUUUUGUUGCUUUUGCUUAUUUGAUACUUCUAAUUUUUUUCUACAAGGAGCCAGUAUUGUUUAUGGAACUCUUUUUAAGACAGCCAGCCUUGUUUAUGUAGCUCUGUUUUAGACUCAAUACUCUGAAACAAUUUGUCAAUUAAUUAUAUGGCGUAGAUGACUUCCAAAUGUUUAAACUCUGGACACUAAAAAAACGUGGAAAUUGUAUUUUAACAUCUUUCAGUAUAAAACAAUUAUAGUUUUAUAAUUGAGACAAAAUCAUGAGAAAUUAUCCAUGACCCUAAAGUACAGGCAAGGAUUCUGAACAAAGAAUUCAUUGGAAACAUUCAAGCAAAAGCACUGCCUCUGGGUACAUUGUUUUAAACUCAUUUCUUUUGGAACCUUACUGUGGAAGAUAUGCAUACAGUGAUGUUAGCCCACGGUAACACGCAACAGAACAUGUAUUAUUAAACUCGGAAUACUUAUAUGCAUCCUUAGACAAAGAUACCCAAAGUAGCUGCCUGAAUUGAGACAUCUGGAGAAUGGAGGCAUUAUGUGUUGACCUAGGAUAAUUUGCUAUGAUGCUGGUGAUUUUCUAUUCAUUUUCUUCAGUAAUUUUCAAAAGACUAUUGUAUUUAAAAACCAAAUUGCUGGCACGAUGCAAUUUGAAAAAAAAAAUGCAUCCAGU